ACAUUGGAAGUCUUCCUAUUAUGAUGUAGUUGUAGAACACAGAACUGAGAAGAGACCUAAAGACCAUGAAGAAACAUCAAAUCCUUCCUUCUGUUUCUGACGCCAAUUGUCACACAAAGAGCCAUGAAGAUAUUUUGCCUUCUCUUUGCCAGUCUCUUCUUGGCCUCCCUGCCCAGUACAGGCAAUGGGGAUUUUGUCACCCUGAGCUGUGUUUUCCGAGGUGGCACCUGUGAAACCCGUAUCUGCAGGGAGAAUGAAGUAAAAAUUGGAACUUGCUCCAAGAUUAAAAAGCUCUGUUGUAAGAAACCAAAACCAAAACGUGUGAUGAACCUCACUGAACUUACAACUCAAGGGAUGUAAGCAUUAGCGCCACCAUAUAUGGAAAGCCCAGUGAGGACUUGUCCAUCUAUAUACUUCUCCCAAGAGAAGACAUUCUGACCACAUCACUAUCUUUACGUUCCUGGAAGCCAACAGGUUGUUACAUAGGAAUCCCAUAGCUACAUCCAUUUGAUAUCACUUUAACAGUCACAAUUUCAUCUAAUAGAAUCCAGAGCUUUGUGUUUUGGUGAAGUCCUCAAUAUCCUCUGAUGAAGAGCAUCCGUCAGUUAUCUGAGCUACAGUUUCCAUUCCAAAGUGGUAGCCUAGUGUGCCAAAAUUAAAACAGUGAAACCCUCUUUUUCUUGGGAGUCUCUCGCCACCUUCCAAGUUCCUCACCAAACUAGAAAUCCAAGGACUUUCUUAGGAUAAAUCAUGGCAAUUAAAGUGUUGUACCACUUUGCUGCAGAUUCUUCUAGAUCUGAGACUCUAGGAGGGCAUGGAUGUGUCUAUUAAAAACCUUCUAUACUGGAGAAAUCGUGCCUCUGCAACUAUACAUCGGUCCUCUGUCUAAAUGACUACUCACUGCAAUACCCACAGCUUUUGGAUACUUUUCAA